AAUGGACGCUGGCGGUAGGCCUAACACAUGCAAGUCGAACGGCAGCACAGAGGAGCUUGCUCCUUGGGUGGCGAGUGGCGGACGGGUGAGGAAUACAUCGGAAUCUACUCUGUCGUGGGGGAUAACGUAGGGAAACUUACGCUAAUACCGCAUACGACCUACGGGUGAAAGCAGGGGACCUUCGGGCCUUGCGCGAUUGAAUGAGCCGAUGUCGGAUUAGCUAGUUGGCGGGGUAAAGGCCCACCAAGGCGACGAUCCGUAGCUGGUCUGAGAGGAUGACCAGCCACACUGGAACUGAGACACGGUCCAGACUCCUACUGGAGGCAGCAGUGGGGAAUAUUGGACAAUGGGCGCAAGCCUGAUCCAGCCAUACCGCGUGGGUGAAGAAGGCCUUCGGGUUGUAAAGCCCUUUUGUUGGGAAAGAAAUCCAGCUGGCUAAUACCCGGUUGGGAUGACGGUACCCAAAGAAUAAGCACCGGCUAACUUCGUGCCAGCCGCCGCCGUAA
rnacentral:rRNA from 1 species